rnacentral:rRNA from 1 species
UACGAAGGGGACUAGCGUUGUUCGGAAUUACUGGGCGUAAAGCGCACGUAGGCGGAUUCGUAAGUCAGGGGUGAAAUCCCGGGGCUCAACCUCGGAACUGCCUUUGAUACUGCGGAUCUCGAGUCCGAUAGAGGUGGGUGGAAUUCCUAGUGUAGAGGUGAAAUUCGUAGAUAUUAGGAAGAACACCGGUGGCGAAGGCGGCCCACUGGAUCGGUACUGACGCUGAGGUGCGAAAGCGUGGGGAGCAAACAGG